GAAAGACCUAGAUACUAGAUAUAGUGGAUAUUUUAUUACAUUUUGUAUGAAGUCAUGUUUCUCCUCUUGAGAUAAAAUCAGUGUGGGUUCAAUGUCCUUUAUUUGCCAUGGGGUCACAUAUAACUAGUUGUUGGGUUCAUUGAUAAGAAGAAAAAUGAUAAUCUGGCAAUUGGUUGAAUCAACGUUCACUACUAAAUGGCUUCUUCCAAAUCCUUUCUUCUUCAUCUUCUUCUCAUUUCUCUUAUGUUUGUUGCCACAAAGGUGACCUAUGCAAAACCUUUGGUUGCAGUGCCACUAAUAAAGCCAUCACCACCACCAUCUCUGGUGGUUGGAGUUGCCACUCGUACUUUACCACCACCACCACCACCACCAGAGAGAGCACGGUCACCCGUAGUGAGACGUGAUGUUCCACAAGCUCCACCACCAGAUGCACCGCCAUCUCAACCACCAGCUGCACCACCAGCUCCACCACAAGCUCCACCACCAGCUCCACCACCAGCUUCAAUAGGUAAUACUGAAUUUUACAUCAUUUUUUGAUAUCUUAAAUAAUGCUAAACACGAAAAUAAGCCAUGAGUGCAUUAUUGAAGGUGGAGAAUUUACAUCAUCCCUCAUUUAUUUUUUAUCUCUAGAGUAUUUUAAAAAUUGUAUUCAAAAGUAAAUGAUAUUUAAAAAUUAUUAUACAAUUAUCAAAAUAUAUUCAAAGACCUAAAUACUAGAUAUAGUGGAUAUCCUUUAUUUGCCAUGGGGUCACAUAUAUUAAACCAUGCCAUCCACUAAUUAGAAAUGGGAGUAGUUGUUGGGUUCAAAUAAGAGUUGAUGUUGUUUCACCCAUGAAAGAAAUGGCUAGCUAGUUUCAACUACUUGAGUCUCAACUUGUAUUAUAUCAUUCCAUGUACUUAAUUUUUUCAUUCGUGAAAAAAUUUAAAUAUAAAUUAAAAAUAAGGGAAUAUCAUUUACUUAAAAAAUAAGUUAAAAAAACUUGGUUCACAUCUUAUCAUCAUUUCUAAGGAAAUCUAAU
rnacentral:lncRNA from 1 species